rnacentral:rRNA from 21 species
AACGCGAAGAACCUUACCUACUCUUGACAUCCAGAGAAUUUGGCAGAGAUGCCUUAGUGCCUUCGGGAGCUCUGAGACAGGUGCUGCAUGGCUGUCGUCAGCUCGUGUUGUGAAAUGUUGGGUUAAGUCCCGCAACGAGCGCAACCCUUAUCCUUUGUUGCCAGCACUUCGGGUGGGAACUCAAGGGAGACUGCCGGUGAUAAACCGGAGGAAGGUGGGGAUGACGUCAAGUCAUCAUGGCCCUUACGAGUAGGGCUACACACGUGCUACAAUGGCGCAUACAAAGAGAAGCGACCUCGCGAGAGCAAGCGGACCUCAUAAAGUGCGUCGUAGUCCGGAUUGGAGUCUGCAACUCGACUCCAUGAAGUCGGAAUCGCUAGUAAUCGUAGAUCAGAAUGCUACGGUGAAUACGUUCCCGGG